UGCUGCUAGAUCAUGCAAGAACAAUGUAGUUCCAACAACCUUUUGGAGAACAGAUGAGCUCUGUUGAGUUUAUGACUGAAGACAGUGUGUGUGAUGACACACGUGGAGACAACGCCGUGGCGGACUUCUCUGUGCUGUUAGUGUUGGUGCAUGCUGCCUGGGAGAGCCGCUGCAGCUGUGUUUGCUCUGUGUGUGGUGUGUGCCAGCCCAGACACCAUCCCAGAUGAACAGCUCUUAUCCAAAGGUGUCAGUGACAUGAAAUUUGUCACUGCAGAUAUCCAGAGAGCUGAAAUAAAGGAGUUGCUGGAGUGCUGAAAUGCAGAACCUAGAGCAAUACUGAAGUAUGGACUGGGUCUGAGCUGCUGUACAGCUGUUGAAGGCAGUCUGAGGCACCCUGGAGAGAGACCUGGGCUUUCAGUACCCUUCUCAGGCCCCCAGCCCUCCUAGAGCAUUCCUCAGCGAGAUCUGUCAGCUUGCCAUGCACAGGUUUUGCCUUGUCCCAGAUCCUAGACCAGUGCUAAGUGGCAGCAGCAAGCCCUUACGCACAUUCCUAUUGAGGACAUUCCUUAUUGUAUUUCCUUGCGGACGUCAUAGUGUUACUGGGGGGUCCUUGUUCUUAGAGCUCCCAAGAUGGUGGC